CCUACGGGAGGCAGCAGUGGGGAAUAUUGGACAAUGGGGGGAACCCUGAUCCAGCCAUGCCGCGUGUGUGAAGAAGGCCCUCGGGUUGUAAAGCACUUUCAGUGAGGAAGAACGCCUGGUGGUUAAUACCCAUCAGGAAAGACAUCACUCACAGAAGAAGCACCGGCUAACUCCGUGCCAGCAGCCGCGGUAAUACGGAGGGUGCGAGCGUUAAUCGGAAUUACUGGGCGUAAAGCGCGCGUAGGUGGCUUGAUAAGCCGGUUGUGAAAGCCCCGGGCUCAACCUGGGAACGGCAUCCGGAACUGUCAAGCUAGAGUGCAGGAGAGGAAGGUAGAAUUCCCGGUGUAGCGGUGAAAUGAGUAGAGAUCGGGAGGAAUACCAGUGGCGAAGGCGGCCUUCUGGACUGACACUGACACUGAGGUGCGAAAGCGUGGGUAGCAAACAGGAUUAGAUACCCGGGUAGUC
rnacentral:rRNA from 1 species